UCCUGCCCUGCGCACCCCAACCCCCCUCCCUCGAGAGGCCAGGGGCUGCUUCCUCAAGGAGCAGGAACCGGCCACCGGGGCUGCCACCGCCUCCCUGGUGGCGGAAGCCAGAGAUCUGGGAUUCCACUGAGGCCUCAAAAGGAUUUGUCAGAUGAGAAAGAUCCAAAUAAAACCAGAGGAAACUCCUCUUUGCAGCCUGAAGCUGAAAUGGCCAAGUUUGUCUAUCCACUUGGUUUUUAACACUGAAUUCUCACUGGUUAUGUCUGAAAGAUUUGGUCUUCCGUGGAUGGGGUCUUGGAGAGUUUGCAAGACGGUUUCUGCCAGGAGGGUAUCAAGAUAACUGCUCCAAACACAGGCAUACAAGUGCUUACUGACAGUAGUCACCCAGGCUGCUCAGAGGCCCCCACCAGCGCUCGUCGCCAGCCCACAGAUCCACUGGCCGGUGCCGUAGCUGCCUGUGCCACAGACCACAGACCUCUGCACCUACCAGGUCCUGCACACAGCGAUGCUCAGCGCAUGCUUCCGGAUGAGCAGGGGUCUCACAUGCUCCAUAAACACUCCCACCACCAGAAGCCACUCCUGUGCGCUUCACAACCUACCCUUUUCUCCCUGGGCCUCCUUGUCUGUUGCCAAAGGAGUUGAAGAACUGGAGCGGUGAGAAAGCUCGUCCUCUCUGAGGGCAGAAGAGGCAGAAGCGCAUUUAGAAAGACUUCCUGAUACAGAGUAUCGGGUAACUACUUACAGCCUCGUAACUACCAACGCGGCCAAAGUCUAGAACAACUGUGAUUUAAGAUCACAGGCCAGGACAAAAAAUAAGAGAAAUCAAAAGGAAAUUCCUACAAAACGAAGGGAGAAGUUCAUGGAAGCCACGGAGAAACCUCUGUCUCACAACAAGCACGAAACGAGAACCUUCACAACCUUACUUACACCUCGCCCAGUUCCCGAGAGCUGUAGCCACAGAGCUGACCCCUAAGAGCAGCUGUCUAGUCGCCUGUUGGUGCCUGGAGAUUAGCUGGGGUCCAGAACAUGAACUCUCCUGCCCCUGCCAUGAUUCUCUGUGCCCCCUCUACCCUGUGGCCUUUGCGUUCACACCCCAGGCACUUGUGCUGCACGAUGAGGAAGAGAGCCAGAGGCUCCAGGGUCAGCACAGAAGACAUUUAAGAGGCGAGAGCAGUUUGGGCAGGUACUUCACUGUCCUUCUGGAGGGCAAUCUUGGAUCCUCCGGAUCGGAGCCGCAGGAGGCCUAAGAGCCAAGUACGUGUGCUUCCUUUCCUGCCCUCUCAUUAGUCUGCAGUGCAAACAAGGACCCGUUACCUUAUUUUCUUUGCUGGCCUCUCUGGUGUCUGCGAGCGGGAUGAGGCUGGGCUGGAGAACGGUGACAAGCUGGGCCCGCUUCUCUUCCAAAGCUAAAAGGCAAAAAGCAGUGACAUGAUUACCCUACUGGACAGCGUGACAUCCGCCUUCAAUACAACUCUGUAUUCUGUUCAUCACCACACACAGGGUCUCCUCCUCAGUGACAAACAUCUUUUGUGGAGCACCUGGCUGACGUAGUGGAGCAUGAGACUCAAUCUCCGUGUUGUGGGUUCGAGCCCCACGUUGGGUGUAGAGAUUACUUAAAAAUACGAUCUUUUAAAACAAAAAAGGAGCACCUGGAUGGCU